UACAGAGGGUGCAAGCGUUAUUCGGAAUUAUUGGGCGUAAAGGGCGCGUAGGCGGCUUGGCAAGUGGAUGGUGAAAUCCCUCGGCUUAACCGAGGAACUGCCAUCCAGACUGCUUUGCUUGAGGCCGGGAGAGGUGAGUGGAAUUCCCAGUGUAGCGGUGAAAUGCGUAGAUAUUGGGAGGAACACCAGUGGCGAAGGCGGCUCACUGGAACGGUUCUGACGCUGAGGCGCGAAAGCGUGGGGAGCAAACGGG
rnacentral:rRNA from 1 species